GACGAACGCUGGCGGCGUGCUUAACACAUGCAAGUCGAACGGAAAGGCCCUGCUUUUGUGGGGUGCUCGAGUGGCGAACGGGUGAGUAACACGUGAGUAACCUGCCCUUGACUUUGGGAUAACUUCAGGAAACUGGGGCUAAUACCGGAUAGGAGCUCCUGCUGCAUGGUGGGGGUUGGAAAGUUUCGGCGGUUGGGGAUGGACUCGCGGCUUAUCAGCUUGUUGGUGGGGUAGUGGCUUACCAAGGCUUUGACGGGUAGCCGGCCUGAGAGGGUGACCGGCCACAUGGGGACUGAGAUACGGCCCAGACUCCUACGGGAGGCAGCAGUGGGGAAUAUUGCACAAUGGGCGGGAGCCUGAUGCAGCAACGCCGCGUGCGGGAUGACGGCCUUCGGGUUGUAAACCGCUUUCGCCUGUGACGAAGCGUGAGUGACGGUAAUGGGUAAAGAAGCACCGGCUAACUACGUG
rnacentral:rRNA from 1 species